GGGCGAGCCUGAUCAGCCAUGCCGCGUGAGUGAAGAAGGCCUUCGGGUUGUAAAGCUCUUUUAGUUGGAAAGAAAGAAUUAUAGUUAAUAGCUAUAGUUUAUGACGGUACCAACAGAAAAAGCACCGGCUAACUACGUGCCAGCAGCCGCGGUAA
rnacentral:rRNA from 1 species